AGCGGGGGGAAGUACUUCGGUACUGACCUUAGCGGCGGACGGGUGAGUAAUGCUUAGGAAUCUGGCUAUUAGUGGGGGACAACGUUUCGAAAGGGACGCUAAUACCGCAUACGUCCUACGGGAGAAAGCAGGGGAUCUUCGGACCUUGCGCUAAUAGAUGAGCCUAAGUCGGAUUAGCUAGUUGGUGGGGUAAAGGCCUACCAAGGCGACGAUCUGUAGCGGGUCUGAGAGGAUGAUCCGCCACACUGGGACUGAGACACGGCCCAGACUCCUACGGGAGGCAGCAGUGGGGAAUAUUGGACAAUGGGGGGAACCCUGAUCCAGCCAUGCCGCGUGUGUGAAGAAGGCCUUAUGGUUGUAAAGCACUUUAAGCGAGGAGGAGGGUACUGGUAUUAAUACUACCAGCUACUGGACGUUACUCGCAGAAUAAGCACCGGCUAACUCUGUGCCAGCAGCCGCGGUAAUACAGAGGGUGCGAGCGUUAAUCGGAUUUACUGGGCGUAAAGCGUGCGUAGGCGGCUAAUUGAGUCGGAUGUGAAAUCCCCGAGCUUAACUUGGGAAUUGCAUUCGAUACUGGUUAGCUAGAGUGUGGGAGAGGAUGGUAGAAUUCCAGGUGUAGCGGUGAAAUGCGUAGAGAUCUGGAGGAAUACCGAUGGCGAAGGCAGCCAUCUGGCCUAACACUGACGCUGAGGUACGAAAGCAUGGGGAGCAAACAGGAUUAGAUACCCUGGUAGUCCAUGCCGUAAACGAUGUCUACUAGCCGUUGGUCUCUUUGAGGGAUUAGUGGC
rnacentral:rRNA from 1 species